rnacentral:rRNA from 1 species
GAUGAACGCUGGCGGCGUGCCUAGUACAUGCAAGUCGAGCGAACGGACGAGAAGCUUGCUUCUCUGAUGUUAGCGGCGGACGGGUGAGUAACACGUGGAUAACCUACCUAUAAGACUGGGAUAACUUCGGGAAACCGGAGCUAAUACCGGAUAAUAUUUUGAACCGCAUGGUUCAAAAGUGAAAGACGGUCUUGCUGUCACUUAUAGAUGGAUCCGCGCUGCAUUAGCUAGUUGGUAAGGUAACGGCUUACCAAGGCAACGAUGCAUAGCCGACCUGAGAGGGUGAUCGGCCACACUGGAACUGAGACACGGUCCAGACUCCUACGGGAGGCAGCAGUAGGGAAUCUUCCGCAAUGGGCGAAAGCCUGACGGAGCAACGCCGCGUGAGUGAUGAAGGUCUUCGGAUCGUAAAACUCUGUUAUUAGGGAAGAACAUAUGUGUAAGUAACUGUGCACAUCUUGACGGUACCUAAUCAGAAAGCCACGGCUAACUACGUGCCAGCAGCCGCGGUAAUACGUAGGUGGCAAGCGUUAUCCGGAAUUAUUGGGCGUNAAGCGCGCGUAGGCGGUUUUUUAAGUCUGAUGUGAAAGCCCACGGCUCAACCGUGGAGGGUCAUUGGAAACUGGAAAACUUGAGUGCAGAAGAGGAAAGUGGAAUUCCAUGUGUAGCGGUGAAAUGCGCAGAGAUAUGGAGGAACACCAGUGGCGAAGGCGACUUUCUGGUCUGUAACUGACGCUGAUGUGCGAAAGCGUGGGGAUCAAACAGGAUUAGAUACCCUGGUAGUCCACGCCGUAAACGAUGAGUGCUAAGUGUUAGGGGGUUUCCGCCCCUUAGUGCUGCAGCUAACGCAUUAAGCACUCCGCCUGGGGAGUACGACCGCAAGGUUGAAACUCAAAGGAAUUGACGGGGACCCGCACAAGCGGUGGAGCAUGUGGUUUAAUUCGAAGCAACGCGAAGAACCUUACCAAAUCUUGACAUCCUUUGACAACUCUAGAGAUAGAGCCUUCCCCUUCGGGGGACAAAGUGACAGGUGGUGCAUGGUUGUCGUCAGCUCGUGUCGUGAGAUGUUGGGUUAAGUCCCGCAACGAGCGCAACCCUUAAGCUUAGUUGCCAUCAUUAAGUUGGGCACUCUAAGUUGACUGCCGGUGACAAACCGGAGGAAGGUGGGGAUGACGUCAAAUCAUCAUGCCCCUUAUGAUUUGGGCUACACACGUGCUACAAUGGACAAUACAAGGGGCAGCGAAACCGCGAGGUCAAGCAAAUCCCAUAAAGUUGUUCUCAGUUCGGAUUGUAGUCUGCAACUCGACUACAUGAAGCUGGAAUCGCUAGUAAUCGUAGAUCAGCAUGCUACGGUGAAUACGUUCCCGGGUCU